AGAGAGAGAGAAAAAAAGAAAACAAAGCAAAACUUACAACCGCCGGCGUUAUGUUUUGGACAAGCACGGUGCUGUGCGCGCGUGCCCUGGUGGAUCGCAAGUCCCCACAGCUCUGGGGUGCGCCUGGUGCGCCGAUCAUCCGCAUGCGUGGCCACCACGUGACAUGGAAGUUCCAGUCCUAUGACAUGUUUGUCGAGCACACGCACCGGCGCCGCAACUCCGACAUCCGUCUUCUGCACUACCUCGGCAAGCACUGCCCUCACCCGCAAAAGUCGCUUUGGUCGCCCGACACCCCGGUUACGCAGGACCGGCACUUGUUCAUGCUGACCACGAUCGACGUGGACGCCUUCAAGUAUUGGUUUGGUGUCAAGCGAUGCCGCCUCUCCGUAGGCCCGUGGAACAUUCUCGCGAAGUCGGGGCUGCUUCCCCCGUCGCACAAGCAGAACUCGAAGAUCAUGCCGAAACCGAUCUUUGACAAAGAGCAGCUGAUGAGGUACUACCUGGCCAACCGCAAAGACCAGCGGCAGAUGGAGCGGGAGGACUACUUGAACUACAAAAAUAGUAUGGUGAAGUCGCCAGAGGAGCGUGCGGCGGAGCGGCCGGUGGCGCCCUUUUUGUAAUGUCUGUUUUGACACCCCGAAAAGCGACGGCAGCAGCGAGGUACGUGCACGAAAAGACGACGUCGAGAGGUACGGUGCAUAGAAGUUCACAAGAAGCCCAGUGGCACUGCAGCCUCUCGUUGACAGUCGCGUCUCGCAUACAGUGCGUGUGUGUGUGUGUUUCUCGCUCUCUCGCUGCGCCUUCCUCCUGUGGUGCCUCGCUCCGGCCCUCUUCCCUCUCCACGACGCAUUGUGCAUCUGCGGUGUGUGUGUGUGUGCUGCUGUUGCGGACAAGGAUGGGUCUUGAUGCGCCUCUGUCUGGCGUUUGCGUGCAUGUGUGCGCUUGUACGUGAGAAUGAGUGACCGAUGAUGGCCGGCUUUGCUGCGGAUGCUCCGCACAUCAAUUCACAUACACACACACGGAUAUCAAAGGCAAG
rnacentral:misc_RNA from 1 species